rnacentral:lncRNA from 1 species
CUGUCCCUGCACCUUGGCUGGGACUCAAGAGGCACUGAAGUCCAGUGGGCAAUGGCAUAAUCUCUAGCACAAAGAAGCAAGCUGGCUGGAAAGCUCCUUUUACAGUCCAAACGGAUGUUUCCCCAGGCUCGUAAAAUACACAGUUUAAGUAGUAGCUAUGUUUCUAAGGCUGGUCCCACACCUGCAACAACCUUGUAAAUGGUGCUGGGAUAUAUGGCUUUAAGACGCCUUGUAAAAAGUAAGAUCAACAUAAGAUUUACACAGUUUUAUGGAAUUGUUUUAUAAGCUAUUUUGACAAUGAAUCCUGCUAUCAAAAUCACCUCUGGUGCUAAUCAUGGAGGAGGCAUUUAGCAAGAGCUAACAAAGAUUAUUUUAAACCCCUUUCCAAAUUAGCUGUGGAGCUGAGCUGGUUAGCCCCUGAGAUUGGGGGCACCACUCAUGCUGCAGCGAGUACAGGAUUGUGGGUUGGUGGGGCAGAGUUUUAAAUUGUGGGGGUGGAUGUUUGUUGGAAUAUUUCACCCUGCUCAGCCAGGGAUGGGGACUGGGUAGGAAAUAGAGAGGUGAAGCCAGAGAUCUUCCUUGGCCUCAGGAUGCCCCUGCUCAGGGGUUGGGAGACUUCUGCAUCUGAGCCUACGCAGGCAAGGGGACCAGGAGGGGAUACUGCGUGGCAAGCCAAGACCUCACAGCAUGUCUCUGGGACAAACAUACGGCCCAAUCAAGAUGUGGUCUCUUUCCUCAGAUGUUUCUAGCUGAAAUCAUCCUAGAAGUGCUCCACAAAGAGGCAGGAGGCCAACACAAUGAUUUCUGCUGUUUUAUCACAAGACGUCCCCUCUCUGCCUGAGGCUGGUGGUUCAUUGAGGAGCUCCUUGUGCAGCCUGGACUUAGCGAGUUUGAGACACUGGCCUAAAGGUGCAGUUUCAGGAGUGGCUUAGGUGAGUCAAAGUCUGUGCUGCUGAAGGGCUCUGAUGCUACCUUUCCAUUUCCUCGCUGUUGUGGAGGAGCCAGGGAUACAUGGAAGGGAGAUGUGUGUGGAGAGACAAGAUCACUCAG